GAUGAACGCUGGCGGCGUGCCUAAUACAUGCAAGUCGAGCGAACAGAUGAGGAGCUUGCUCCUCUGACGUUAGCGGCGGACGGGUGAGUAACACGUGGAUAACCUACUUCUAAUACUGGUAUAACUUCGGGAAUCCGGAGCUAAUACCGGAUAAUAUCUUGAACCGCAUUGUUGAAUAGUGAAAGACGGUUUUGCUGUCACUUAUAGAUGGAUCCGCGCCGCAUUAGCUAGUUGGUAAGGUAACGGCUUACCAAGGCAACGAUGCGUAGCCGACCUGAGAGGGUGAUCGGCCACACUGGAACUGAGACACGGUCCAGACUCCUACGGGAGGCAGCAGUAGGGAAUCUUCCGCAAAGGGCGAAAGCCUGACGGAGCAGCGCCACGUGAGUGAUGAAAGUCUUCGGAGCGUAAAACUCUGUUAGUAGGGAAAAACAAAUGUGUAAGUAACUAUGCACGUCGUGACGGUACCUGAUCAGAAAGCCACGGCUAACUACGUG
rnacentral:rRNA from 1 species